rnacentral:rRNA from 1 species
AUGAACGCUGGCGGCGUGCCUAAUACAUGCAAGUCGAGCGAACAGAUGAGGAGCUUGAUCCUCUGACGUUAGCGGCGGACGGGUGACUCACACGUGGAUAACCUACCUAUAAGACUGGGAUAACUUCGGGAAACCGGAGCUAAUACCGGAUAAUAUAUUGAACCGCAUGGUUCAAUAGUGAAAGACGGUUUUGCUGUCACUUAUAGAUGGAUCCGCGCCGCAUUAGCUAGUUGGUAAGGUAACGGCUUACCAAGGCAACGAUGCGUAGCCGACCUGAGAGGGUGAUCGGCCACACUGGAACUGAGACACGGUCCAGACUCCUACGGGAGGCAGCAGUAGGGAAUCUUCCGCAAUGGGCGAAAGCCUGACGGAGCAACGCCGCGUGAGUGAUGAAGGUCUUCGGAUCGUAAAACUCUGUUAUUAGGGAAGAACAAAUGUGUAAGUAACUAUGCACGUCUUGACGGUACCUAAUCAGAAAGCCACGGCUAACUACGUG